rnacentral:rRNA from 1 species
AAUAGUAGUUAUUUUCUUUAAACCUAAAGAAUUUGGCGGUAUUUUAGUCUAUUCAGAGGAAUUUGUCCCUUGAUCGAUAAUCCUCGUUUUAUCUUGCUUAAUUUGGUAUAAUCAGUAUGUAUAUCGCCGUUAUGAGUUUAUUUUUUGAGAAUUAAAAUUUGCUAGUUACUUUAUUUUGUUAUAUUUCAGGUCAAGGUGCAGCUGAUAGUUAAGUGGUGAUGAGUUACAAUAUUAUUUAAGUAAAUGGAUUUGUUUGUGAAUAUUUAUUAUUGAAAGUGGAUUUGAUAGUAAUUUUGAUUAUAGUGUUAUUUUGAUUUAUAGCUCUAAAAUAAGUACACAUCGCCCGAUCGCUC